ACGCGCUUCAUGGAAACGCCCUCUCCACUACUUGACACACGCUUCGAAGCCUCGGCAUAUCUCGUAACAUCACUAUUUUUCACGUUUACUAUAAAAAACACACACACACACACACACACACACACACACACACACACACACACACACACACACACACACACACACACACACACACACACACACACACACACACACACACACACAUAUCUAUAGCUAAUGUUGUUAGCUGGUUAGCUACCCCCGGUUGGUAAAUUCAUCACUUGUUUUUCUGUUAGCUGCUGUGAGGGAACCGACGACUGAACCGGGCCAAGGAGAGACCGAACCUGCAACAGCUUCAUGAAGUCUCCUGGAUGGUUUUCCAAUAGCCUUGAAGAACUUCCCAGAGGUGCUGAGCAGCUGAUGGAGUUUCUCCUCAGUGGAGACGUUGAGGUGGAUGCCAAGAACUGGACUUUCUGAGAGCUGUAGCCUGUAUCGUAGAUGGGUUGCUUUGAAAGUUUUGGGACAGGACCUCCAUGGAGAUGCCAGGAUGCUCAGCGGAGUAACCAUCCCUCUCCAGCCUCCAAGAGCAUCACUAUACUCACUUGAACCAUAUACACUCGCUGAGUGUCUCCUCUUUCUCUCCACCUCCCGCUGACCAUGUAAGCUGCUUCUCACCACUGGCUGUGGG
ensembl:lncRNA